rnacentral:rRNA from 1 species
CCCCAGGCGGUCAACUUCACGCGUUAGCUACGUUACUAAGGAAAUGAAUCCCCAACAACUAGUUGACAUCGUUUAGGGCGUGGACUACCAGGGUAUCUAAUCCUGUUUGCUCCCCACGCUUUCGUGCAUGAGCGUCAGUAUUGGCCCAGGGGGCUGCCUUCGCCAUCGGUAUUCCUCCACAUCUCUACGCAUUUCACUGCUACACGUGGAAUUCUACCCCCCUCUGCCAUACUCUAGCCUGCCAGUCACCAAUGCAGUUCCCAGGUUGAGCCCGGGGAUUUCACAUCGGUCUUAGCAAACCGCCUGCGCACGCUUUACGCCCAGUAAUUCCGAUUAACGCUUGCACCCUACGUAUUACCGCGGCUGCUGGCACGUAGUUAGCCGGUGCUUAUUCUUCCGGUACCGUCAUCCCCCGGCUGUAUUAGAGCCAAGGAUUUCUUUCCGGACAAAAGUGCUUUACAACCCGAAGGCCUUCUUCACACACGCGGCAUUGCUGGAUCAGGCUUUCGCCCAUUGUCCAAAAUUCCCCACUGCUGCCUCCCGUANGAGUCUGGGCCGUGUCUCA